GAUGAAGAACGUAGCGAAAUGCGAUACUUGGUGUGAAUUGCAGAAUCCCGUGAACCAUCGAGUUUUUGAACGCAAGUUGCGCCCGAAGCCUUUUGGCCGAGGGCACGUCUGCCUGGGCGUCACGCAUCGCGUCGCCCCCCACAAUUCUCCGUAAAGGGAACAUGUGUUUUGGGGGCGGAUAUUGGUCUCCCGUGCUCAUGGCGUGGUUGGCCGAAAUAGGAGUCCUUUCGAUGGACGCACGAACUAGUGGUGGUCGUAAAAACCCUCGUCUUUUGUUUCGUGCUGUUGGUCGCAAGGUAAACUCUUUAAAAACCCCAAUGUGUCGUCUCUUGACGACGCUUCGACCGCGACCCCAGGUCAGGCGGGACUACCCGCUGAGUUUAAGCAUAUCAAUAAGCGGAGGA
rnacentral:misc_RNA from 1 species